UUUCCGUAGGUGAACCUGCGGAAGGAUCAUUAUUGUAUAACCGAGGUGCGAGGGCUGUCGCUGACCCGAAAGGUCGUGCACGCCCGAGUGCCCUCACACACAUCCAACUCACCCCUGUGUGCACCACCGCGUGGGUCCCCCUUUGGCUUGUUCGGAGGGGGGCUUACGUUUUCACACAAACUUUGUAUGCAGUGUAGAAUGUAUUUUUUGUUUUUGCGAUCACGCAAUCAAUACAACUUUCAACAACGGAUCUCUUGGCUCUC
rnacentral:misc_RNA from 1 species